UAGGGAAUCUUCGGCAAUGGACGAAAGUCUGACCGAGCAACGCCGCGUGAGUGAAGAAGGUUUUCGGAUCGUAAAACUCUGUUGUUAGAGAAGAACAAGGACGUUAGUAACUGAACGUCCCCUGACGGUAUCUAACCAGAAAGCCACGGCUAACUACGUGCCAGCAGCCGCGGUAAUACGUAGGUGGCAAGCGUUGUCCGGAUUUAUUGGGCGUAAAGCGAUCGCAGGCGGUUUCUUAAGUCUGAUGUGAACGCCCCCGGCUCAACCGGGGAGGGUCAUUUGAAACUGGGAGACUUGAGUGCAGAAGAGGAGAGUGGAAUUCCAUGUGUAGCGGUGAAAUGCGUAGAUAUAUGGAGGAACACCAGUGGCGAAGGCGGCUCUCUGGUCUGUAACUGACGCUGAGGCUCGAAAGCGUGGGGAUCAAACAGG
rnacentral:rRNA from 1 species